rnacentral:rRNA from 1 species
CCCGGUAAACGGCGGCCGUAACUAUAACGGUCCUAAGGUAGCGAAAUUCCUUGUCGGGUAAGUUCCGACCUGCACGAAUGGCGUAAUGAUGGCCAGGCUGUCUCCACCCGAGACUCAGUGAAAUUGAACUCGCUGUGAAGAUGCAGUGUACCCGCGGCAAGACGGAAAGACCCCGUGAACCUUUACUAUAGCUUGACACUGAACAUUGAGCCUUGAUGUGUAGGAUAGGUGGGAGGCUUUGAAGUGUGGACGCCAGUCUGCAUGGAGCCGACCUUGAAAUACCACCCUUUAAUGUUUGAUGUUCUAACGUGGACCCGUAAUCCGGGUUGCGGACAGUGUCUGGUGGGUAGUUUGACUGGGGCGGUCUCCUCCUAAAGAGUAACGGAGGAGCACGAAGGUUGGCUAAUCCUGGUCGGACAUCAGGAGGUUAGUGCAAUGGCAUAAGCCAGCUUGACUGCGAGCGUGACGGCGCGAGCAGGUGCGAAAGCAGGUCAUAGUGAUCCGGUGGUUCUGAAUGGAAGGGCCAUCGCUCAACGGAUAAAAGGUACUCCGGGGAUAACAGGCUGAUACCGCCCAAGAGUUCAUAUCGACGGCGGUGUUUGGCACCUCGAUGUCGGCUCAUCACAUCCUGGGGCUGAAGUAGGUCCCAAGGGUAUGGCUGUUCGCCAUUUAAAGUGGUACGCGAGCUGGGUUUAGAACGUCGUGAGACAGUUCGGUCCCUAUCUGCCGUGGGCGCUGGAGAACUGAGGGGGGCUGCUCCUAGUACGAGAGGACCGGAGUGGACGCAUCACUGGUGUUCGGGUUGUCAUGCCAAUGGCACUGCCCGGUAGCUAAAUGCGGAAGAGAUAAGUGCUGAAAGCAUCUAAGCACGAAACUUGCCCCGA